CGUGAGAUGUUGGGUUAAGUCCCGCAACGAGCGCAACCCUUGCCAUUAGUUGCUACGAAAGGGCACUCUAAUGGGACUGCCGGUGACAAACCGGAGGAAGGUGGGGAUGACGUCAGGUCAUCAUGGCCCUUAUGGGUAGGGCUACACACGUCAUACAAUGGCCGGUACAGAGGGCUGCCAACCCGCGAGGGGGGAGCCAAUCCCAGAAAACCGGUCGUAGUCCGGAUCGUAGUCUGCAACUCGACUGCG
rnacentral:rRNA from 1 species